GACUCAGUGUGCAAUCCCGACCAACCUCU
rnacentral:piRNA from 1 species